GAGUCCUUCAGUUGAUAAGCCUAAAAUGGAAGGUGACUUGGCUGAAAUAGGAAAACUAGCAAUUGUAAUGCAAUGUUACAAGCCUUAAGGAUAUUAAAGUUCCAGAAAAUGGCUACAAAA
rnacentral:snoRNA from 1 species